AGCUGUUCCUAUUCGGCCAUCUUGCUCUGGGACCUGACAAACAUCAUUUCUUAUACUACAAUGAGAUGUCCUCAUUUGGCUCUGCCAUACUUUAUUUAGCCUUUCUUUGGUAAUCUCUAAUAUGUAGUCUUUUUUUUCCUAUCAUUGCCAUGUUCCUUACACUGGACAAUUUCAGGUGUAGUUCAAGUCAUAAAAGGAUUUUCAGUUAAUUAUGUUAUAUUUAAACUCACAUCGAAUGGGUUUUUUUAAAGAAAAAAAAACCCUAGAUCUCAAAGAUGGUUUUGUCAUCAGCACAUUCUGUGUUGAGCUUUCAGCCAACUACUUAAUCUAUGCUUAGCUUAAAAAUAAGAUUUGGCUGGGUGCUGUGGCGUAUGCCUGUAAUUGCAGCACUUUGGGAGCUGAGACAGGUGGAUCACUUGAGCUCAGGAGUUCAAGACCAACCUGGGCAACAAGGCAAAACCUUUUCUAUUUUUUAAAAAAUAAGAUUUGACAUUGUUGUGGUGUAAGUUUUUCACAGAAUAUGAAAUUUGAAAAUUUGAGUAGUAUUUGGUAAUGUUCAGUGUUUUAAGCCUUUUGAGUUGUAAUAAGUAUUUGUUAAAUCAGUGUACCAUUACAAGAGUUUUACAUUGCCUUUGAAGUAGGCAGUAAUAGAAAAAUAAUGUAUGUACUAAACUACACAGUAUUUUUUAUUCUUUCAACAAAUAUUUCUUGAUAUUACUAUAUGCCAGAUACUACAUCAGGUAACUGGAAUAUAGUAUGGAAUAAAGUAGUCAAGUCUCUGCUCUCAUAGAGUAUCUGGGGUAAGGGGAAGGGUUUGGAGAGACAAUAAAUAUAAAGAAUGUGCAUUAUAUCAGAUGGAUAAAUGCACUGAAGGAAAAUAUAGCAAGGUAAGAGAGUAGAGUGAUGAAAGAAGUUCAAUUUUAGAUAUUUAAGAAAAAUGAGACCAUGGCAGUUGGAGGAAUGGCAGUGAUCACACGUUGGCUGCUGGGAAGAUCUGAAUUCUUGUGUCAGGUCAUCAUCAGAAAAGCUAAGUUUGCUGUAUAUUGAGGAUCAAGAGAUCUGAUCCUGAUUGCAGAACCUUCCCUGAUUACAGAAUCUUGGGUUGUAUCUCCCACUUCACCCUUCUAGACCAUCCCAGAAGAUCUAUAAGAUUUCAUCUGGGAAAUCACUAGGAGUUCUUGGAAGGGAAAGAAGGAAGAUUGUUGGUUGGAAUAAAAACAAGGUUGAAUGAAUUCCAGAAAGCAGGAUUCUUAACCUCGUGGACAGCAAUCUGCAGAAGAAGAGAACUUCAGAAAACAAACUCGAAGCAACAUGCAGAGAAGUAAGAUGAGAGGGGUCUCCUCGGGAAAGAAGACCGCUGGUUCACAGCAGAAAAAUCUUGAACCAGCUCUCCCAGGAAGAUGAGGGGGUCGCUCUGUAGAGAACCCCCUUCAGGAUCCAUGAGAAAGACUAGAAAGAACAAACAGAAGACUCCUGGAAACAGAGAUGGUGGCAGUACCAGCGAAGCACCUCAGCCCCCUCAGAAAAAAAGGGCCCGGGCAGACUGUUGAAAGUGAGGAGGCGUUUAAGAAUAGAAUGGGGGUUAAAGUGAAGAUUCCUGAAGAAUUAAAACUAUGGCUUAUUGAGGACUGGGACUUAGUAACCAGACAGAAGCAGCUGUUUCAACUCCCUGCUAAGAAAAAUGUAGAUGCAAUUCUGGAGGAGUAUGCAAAUUGCAAGAAGUCACAGGCAAAUGUUGAUAAUAAGGAAUAUGCAGUUAAUGAAGUUGUGGCAGGAAUAAAAGAAUAUUUCAAUGUGAUGUUGGGCACUCAGCUGCUCUACAAAUUUGAGAGGCCCCAGUAUCCUGAAAUCCUCUUGGCUCACCCUGAUGCUCCAAUGUCUCAGGUUUAUGGAGCCCCACACCUACUGAGAUUAUUUGUAAGAACUGGAGCAAUGUUGGCCUAUAGGCGCCUUGAUGAGAAAAGCCUUGCAUUAUUGUUGGGCUAUUUGCAUGAUUUCCUAAAAUAUCUGGCAAAGAAUUCUGCAUCUCUCUUUACUGCCAGUGAUUACAAGGUGGCUUCUGCUGAGUACCACCGCAAAGCCCUGUGAGCGUCUACAGACAGCUCACCAUUUUUGUCCUGUAUCUGUAAACACUUUUUGUUCUUAGUCUUUUUCUUGUAAAAUUGAUGUUCUUUAAAAUCGUUAAUGUAUAACAGCGCUUAUGUUUCAGUUUUUUUCUGUUCUGUUUUAAACAGAAAAUAAAAGGAGCAUAAGCUCCUUUUCUCAUUUCAAAGUUGCUACCAGUGUAUGCAGUAAUUAGAACAAAGAAGAAACAGUAGAACAUUUUAUUGCCUAGUUGACAACAUUGCUUGAAUGCUGGUGGUUCCUAUCCCUUUGACACUACACAAUUUUCUAAUAUGUGUUAAUGCUAUGUGACAAAACGCCCUGAUUCCUAGUGCCAAAGGUUCAACUUAAUGUAUAUACCUGAAAACCCAUGCAUUUGUGCUCUUUUUUUUUUUAUGGUGCUUGAAGUAAAACAGCCCAUCCUCUGCAAGUCCAUCUAUGUUGUUCUUAAUCAUUCUAUCUUUGCUCAAAUUGUUGAAGGAUGGUGAUUUGUUUCAUGGUUUUUGUGUUUGAGACUAAUGCACGUUCUAACAUGAUAGAGGCAAUGCAUUAUUGUGUAGCCACGGUUUUCUGGAAAAGUUGAUAUUUUAGAAAUUGUAUUUCAGAUCUUAAAUAAAAUUUGUUUCUAAAUUUCAAAAAAAAAAAAAA